rnacentral:rRNA from 1 species
UACAGAGGAUGCAAGCGUUAUCCGGAAUUAUUGGGCGUAAAGCGUCCGCAGGUGGUUAUGAAAGUUUGCUGUCAAAGCGCGAGGCUCAACUUCGUACCGGCGGUGAAAACUUCAAGACUAGAGCUAGGUAGGGGUCACGGGAAUUCCCAGUGUAGCGGUGAAAUGCGUAGAUAUUGGGAAGAACACCAGCGGCGAAAGCGCGUGACUGGGCCUGAGCUGACACUCAUGGACGAAAGCUAGGGGAGCGAAAGGG